GGAAGGAUCAUUACAAAAUCUAGUUGUAGGGUGUGGUGUGUUGGUGGUGGUUGGGUUAGUGUGGAGAGUGAGUUUAGUGGGGUUGGUGCUUUGGCGCUGGCUCUCCUUUUCCUCUGCCCACACACCCACCGUCCCUCCAUCAUGUCCCGAACACAUUUGCGCUUGUAUUGUUUGACAGAGUAAAAGUAUACACAAAUUAAAGACAACUUUUAACAAUGGAUCUCUUGGCUCUUGCAACGAUGAAGAACGCAGCUAAAUGCGAUACGUAGUGCGAUUUGCAUAACUUGCGAGUCAUCGAAUCUUUGAACGCAACUUGCGCCGCCUUGGCGGCAUGUCUAUUUGAGUACAGUAAUAAAAAUGCAUCAUGCAAAUUGCCAAACACUUUGCUUGGUUAAAAGAGGCAAGUACAUUUGGUGCUGAAGCUAGAGACUUUGGUCUUGUUCAGCACCCCAACCUCAUGUCUCAAAUUAGGCAAGAAGACCCGCUGAACUUAAGCAUAUCAGUAAGCGGAGGAACAGAAACUAACCAGGAUUCCCUCAGUAAUGGCGAAUGAAGCGGGAAUAGCUCAAAGUUUUAAUCUCGGCGGUUUCCGUCGCGAAUUGUAGUCUAAAGAAGGUAACCUAGUGGGGAGGCGGCGUCAAGUCCAUUGGAAAAUGGCACCAGAGAGGGUGAGAGUCCCGUUUGCGCCGGCAAGCCACAAAGUGGGAGCCUUUCAACGAGUCGAGUUGUUUGGGAAUGCAGCUCAAAGCGGGUGGUAAAUCUCAUCUAAGGCUAAAUAUUGGCAAGAGACCGAUAGCGAACAAGUACCGUGAGGGAAAGAUGAAAAGCACCUUGAAAAGGGAGUUAAACAGUGCGUGAAAUUGUUAAAAGGGAAGCGAUUGAGAUCAGUGUUGAGGCCGAGUCUAAUGUCGAGCUUUGGUUCGGCAAGCGACUCGGCAUCGAGUCAAUGUCAGUUGUGUUGGCUGGAGACGUCCUGCGGGAAGGUGGGGUCGCUCUUCGGAGUGGCUCUUUAUAGACCGUAGAGGCCGCAGCCGCUGCGACUGGUUUGGGUUAGAACGAGGUUGGCGUUUGGUCGGGUGGUUAGAAUAAGACAACAUGUUGACUUGCUCCUGCCACUCCCCGCACCCAGCCCCCAACUAGCCCGCUCUUGACAAAAUGGUCUUAAACGACCCGUCUUGAAACACGGACCAAGGAGUCUAACAAUGUUGCGAGCAUUAUAGUGGCAAACUAGAGAUGCGCAAUAAAAGUGAAAGCCUGCGAGCCAGCCUCGUGUUCGGCGCAGCAGGGACCGGCGUUGAAUUAACAUUCAGUGACCGAGUAAGAGCAGGAUUGUUGGGACCCGAAAGGCGGUGAACUAUGCCUGACUAGGGCGAAGCCAGAGGAAACUCUGGUGGAGGCUCGUAGCCGUUCUGACGUGCAAAUCGAUGGUAAAAGUUGGGUAUAGGGGCGAAAGACUAAUCGAACCGCCUAGUAGCUGGUUCCCUC
rnacentral:misc_RNA from 1 species